rnacentral:rRNA from 1 species
ACAGAGGGUGCAAACGUUGUUCGGAAUUACUGGGCAUAAAGCGUACGUAGGCGGCGCGUCAAGUGCGGGGUGAAAGCCCACGGCUUACCCGUGGAACAGCUUUGCAUACUGACGUGCUGGAGUGCGGUAGAGGAGAGCGGAACUCUUGGUGGAGCGGUGAAAUGCGUAGAUAUCAAGAGGAACACCGAAGGCGAAGGCAGCUCUCUGGGCCGUUACUGACGCUGAGGUACGAAAGCCAGGGGAUCAAACGGGAUUAGAUACCCCGGUAGUCCUGGCUGUAAACGAUGGGCACUAGCUGGCGGGUCUCCUGUGGAAUCGCCGGCGAAGCAAAUGUGAUAAGUGCCCCGCCUGGGAAGUAUGGUCGCAAGGCUG